rnacentral:pre_miRNA from 1 species
AGUGGGAUAACUGGGUCAAAUGGUGGUUCCAUUCCAAAUUUUCUGAGUAAUCUCCAUAAUGCUUUCUAGAGUGGUUGUACUAAUUUGCAGUCCCACCAGCAAU